rnacentral:rRNA from 1 species
CGUAGGGUGCAAGCGUUAAUCGGAAUUACUGGGCGUAAAGCGUGCGCAGGCGGUCUUGCAAGACAGAUGUGAAAUCCCCGGGCUCAACCUGGGAACUGCAUUUGUGACUGCAAGGCUAGAGUGCGGCAGAGGGGGAUGGAAUUCCGCGUGUAGCAGUGAAAUGCGUAGAUAUGCGGAGGAACACCGAUGGCGAAGGCAAUCCCCUGGGCCUGCACUGACGCUCAUGCACGAAAGCGUGGGGAGCAAAACAGGAUUAGAUACCCUGGUAGUCCACGCCCUAAACGAUGUCAACUGGUUGUUGGGAAGGUUCCUUCUCAGUAACGUAGCUAACGCGUGAAGUUGACCGCCUGGGGAGUACGGCCGCAAGGUUG